rnacentral:tmRNA from 1 species
GGGGCUGAUUCUGGAUUCGACGGGAUUUGCGAAACCCAAGGUGCAUGCCGAGGGGCGGUUGGCCUCGUAAAAAGCCGCAAAAAAAUAGUCGCAAACGACGAAAACUACGCUUUAGCAGCUUAAUAACCUGCUUAGAGCCCUCUCUCCCUAGCCUCCGCUCUUAGGACGGGGAUCAAGAGAGGUCAAACCCAAAAGAGAUCGCGCGGAUGCCCUGCCUGGGGUUGAAGCGUUAAAACGAAUCAGGCUAGUCUGGUAGUGGCGUGUCCGUCCGCAGGUGCCAGGCAAAUGUAAAGACUGACUAAGCAUGUAGUACCGAGGAUGUAGGAAUUUCGGACGCGGGUUCAACUCCCGCCAGCUCCACCA